rnacentral:rRNA from 1 species
AGGCGGCAGACGGGUGAGUAACGCGUGGGAACGUACCUUUUGCUACGGAAUAACUCAGGGAAACUUGUGCUAAUACCGUAUGUGCCUCGGGGAAAGAUUUAUCGGCAAAGGAUCGGCCCGCGUUGGAUUAGCUAGUUGGUGAGGUAAAGGCUCACCAAGGCGACGAUCCAUAGCUGGUCUGAGAGGAUGAUCAGCCACACUGGGACUGAGACACGGCCCAGACUCCUACGGGAGGCAGCAGGC